GACGAACGCUGGCGGCGUGCUUAACACAUGCAAGUCGAACGGAAAGGCCCUGCUUUUGUUGGUUGCUCGAGUGGCGAACGGGUGAGUAACACGUGAGUAACCUGCCCUUGACUUUGGGAUAACUUCAGGAAACUGGGGCUCAUACCGGAUAUGAGCUCCUGCUGCAUGGUGUGGGUUGGAAAGUUUCGGCGGUUGUGGAUGUACUCGCGGCUUAUCAGCUUGUUGGUGGAGUAGUGGCUUACCAAGGCUUUGACGGGUAGCCGGCCUGAGAGGGUGAACGGCCACAAUGGGACUGAGAUACGGACCAGAAUCCUACGGGAGGCAGCAGUGGGGAAUAUUGCACAGUGGGGGGAAGCCAGAGGCAGAAACGUCGGGUGCGGGAUGACGGCUUUCGGGUGGUAAACAGCUUUCGCAUGUGACGAAGAGUGAGUGACGGUAAUGGGUAAAGAAGCACCGGCUAACUACGUG
rnacentral:rRNA from 1 species